rnacentral:rRNA from 1 species
GACGAACGCUGGCGGCGUGCCUAACACAUGCAAGUCGAACGGGGCCCGCAAGGGUUCAGUGGCGAACGGGUGCGUAACCCGUGAAGAAUUUGUCCAACGGCGGGGGAUAGCCGGCCCAACGGCCGGGUAAUACCGCGUACGUCCACCGGGGGGCAUCCCCUGAUGGUGAAAGCCGCAAGGCGCCGAUGGAGAACUUCGCGGCCUAUCAGCUAGUUGGUGAGGUCAUGGCUCACCAAGGCGACGACGGGUAGCUGGUCCGAGAGGAUGACCAGCCACAUUGGGACUGAGACACGGCCCAGACUCCUACGGGAGGCAGCAGUGGGGAAUAUUGCGCAAUGGGCGAAAGCCUGACGCAGCGACGCCGCGUGUGGGAUGACGGCCUUCGGGUUGUAAACCACUGUCGCGAGGGACGAAGAUCUGACGGUACCUCGAAAGGAAGCACCGGCUAACUCUGUGC